CCAAUAGCGUAUAUUAAAGUUGUUGCAGUUAAAAAGCUCGUAGUUGAAUUUCGGGAUCAAUUAAUUGGUCGUGCCUCUGGUACGUACUGAUUUUAUUGGUUUCUCCCUUCUGAAGAACCAUGAUGUCAUUAAUUUGGUGUCGUGGAGAAUCAGGACUGUUACUUUGAAAAAAUUAGAGUGUUUAAAGCAAGCUAACGCUUGAAUACAUUAGCAUGGAAUA
rnacentral:rRNA from 1 species